AAACCAGCACCUCAAGUGGUCAGGAGGAUUAUUGGGCCUAAAGCAUCCGUAGCCGGCUCUGUAAGUUUUCGGUUAAAUCUGUACGCUCAACGUACAGGCUGCUGGGAAUACUGCAGAGCUAGGGAGUGGGAGAGGUAGACGGUACUCGGGAGGAAGUGGUAAAAUGCUUUGAUCUCUCGAUGACCACCUGUGGCGAAGGCGGUCUACCAGAACACGUCCGACGGUGAGGGAUGAAAGCUGGGGGAGCAAACCGGAUUAGAUACCCGAGUAGUCC
rnacentral:rRNA from 1 species